rnacentral:snoRNA from 1 species
GCUGAUGAUGAUAUUAUCCAAUUAGUUGAGGUGUAGUGGAACUGAGACCCUGUUUACAGGGAGAACCCCUUGGGGAAGCUACAUUCACAUGACAUUAAUGGAUCUAGGUGAGGC